UCAUAUCCCUGUCUUUUUCAUGUCUAC
rnacentral:sRNA from 1 species